rnacentral:rRNA from 1 species
GGGUGAGUAACGCGUAGACAACCUGCCGUAAAGAUGGGGACAACAGUUCGAAAGGACUGCUAAUACCGAAUGUUGUAGAGUUUCCGCAUGGGAAUCCUACUAAAGGUGGCCUCUACUUGUAAGCUAUCGCUUUACGAUGGGUCUGCGUCUGAUUAGCUAGUUGGUGGGGUAACGGCCUACCAAGGCGACGAUCAGUAGCCGGUCUGAGAGGAUGAACGGCCACAUUGGAACUGAGACACGGUCCAGACUCCUACGGGAGGCAGCAGUGGGGAAUCUUCCGCAAUGGGCGCAAGCCUGACGGAGCAACGCCGCGUGAGUGAAGAAGGGUUUCGACUCGUAAAGCUCUGUUGUCGGGGACGAAUGUGGAGAUGGUGAAUAACCAUUUUCAAUGACGGUACCUGACGAGGAAGCCACGGCUAACUACGUGCCAGCAGCCGCGGUAAUACGUAGGUGGCGAGCGUUGUCCGGAAUUAUUGGGCGUAAAGGGAGCGCAGGCGGGAAGGUAAGUCUAUCUUAAAAGUGCGGGGCUCAACCCCGUGAGGGGAUGGAAACUAUCUUUCUUGAGUGCAGGAGAGGAAAGCGGAAUUCCUAGUGUAGCGGUGAAAUGCGUAGAUAUUAGGAGGAACACCAGUGGCGAAGGCGGCUUUCUGGACUGUAACUGACGCUGAGGCUCGAAAGCGUGGGGAGCGAACAGGAUUAGAUACCCUGGUAGUCCACGCCGUAAACGAUGAAUGCUAGGUGUAGGAGGUAU